GUUACUCCACAAAUAAGAUUGUUACUGAACCCACAGCUACGCGAUAGCUCUUGCCUUCCCACUCGACCCGUAUCUGUUCUGCUUUUCGCUAUUCUCUCGGCUGAAUAAAACCUUGGAACGUACAAAUAAACGAAAAAUAUACCAUGUAAUUGCUGAGACAACUAGUAAAUGGUUACCUACUACUAAAUUGUAACUUGUACCAGUUGUAAGGAAAUAUAAAAUAGAAGGUGACUAAGGAGGGUUGAAACCAGAUUAGACGUAUUACAGUAAUCGAAGAUGGAAACCUUAUACGUGUUUCGUAGAAGCCGUAAGAAUUCCUCGUCCACGGUACCCUUUCUGAUAGUAUUUCCUACAUACGAUCACUAUGAGAAGAGUUUCGUUCGAUCUUUGUAAUAAUCAAGUACAUCUUUUCGUUACGUUCUAUCGCAACGUUCGUCGGUAAUUAGAAAAAUCGAGACGUUUAGCGACAUGUUGGAAGAAGUUAAAAGUCAAAGAAAAAUUAACUCGCGAUAUCGUGCAGAAAUUUGUUAGCACGAAGCUCCGAUAGCUUGCAGUUCGAUAGAACUGAAAGUAUCGCGGAAUAUGCUUGUCUGUGAAAUUUCAAGAUUUAAAGCAAAAUAUACCUUUCAGUAUAAGAAUGUUCUAACGUGUAUUAUCGAACAGAUAUAUCCAGUCUCAACCUGGAAGGAUGGUCAACUAUAGUGUACUUGUUUUUUACCGUCUACCGUUUGUCACCCGCAAAAGUUAACAGGAAACAUCGACGGAAUAAUCUCACGGCUAUAUCGCUACUUUCUUUCGUCCUUCGUUUUUGAUAUUUUCUCCGUUUCUUUGCGGUAAAUGCGUACGGCUGGAACGGAAGAUUAUAGACACUA